UCUACAUGUAACACAACAGGAGAAGUGAAGGAAUUCCUUGACCUGUGAAGGAUUUCUUUGACCUCUGGCCCGCUCUGUGUUUGGGAGUCACAGGUCUGUGCAGAGAUCAACAGGUUUACAAACCAGGACAUGCCAAAUACCUUUUAAGCUAAACUUGACCGCCACACUCCCCGUUUCCUGACCUUGUGUAGACAGAGGGCAUUAUGGACUGGAAUUACGGUAGAGGGAUUGACUAACAUCCUGAGAAUGUAUGGUCUAAAUGAACAAGUUGAAGUCAACACUAGACAAACCACUGUCCUCCGCGACAUUCCUUCAUUUCUGCUUGACGAGGCCUCAGGAAUUUUCAAGACAUGCAGGCUGCAGGAUUCAGAUUAAGCAGAUGUGGGAGAUGCAGCGGCAGCCAUCCUCAGUCACCAGAGACAUCAGGCUAUCCGGAAGGCCAAAGUUAGCUACUUUAAGGAGCAGUUCUCUCUCUUUGGGUCUAACCG